rnacentral:rRNA from 1 species
ACAGAGGGGGCAAGCGUUGUUCGGAAUUACUGGGCGUAAAGGGCGCGUAGGCGGCCUGUUAAGUCGAACGUGAAAUCCCCGGGCUCAACCCGGGAACUGCGUCCGAUACUGGCAGGCUUGAAUCCGGGAGAGGGAUGUGGAAUUCCAGGUGUAGCGGUGAAAUGCGUAGAUAUCUGGAGGAAUACCGGUGGCGAAGGCGGCAUCCUGGACCGACAUUGACGCUGAUGAGCGAAAGCUAGGGGAGCGAACGGGA